rnacentral:lncRNA from 1 species
GUGGGGAGGGGGCUGAGGUCUGUGUUCGCCUACUGGGAUCCGGUUGGCUAGAAGCGCGGGACUGAGCGCUAUGCCCCUCCCCUUUGACCCCUCCCCUCCCCACCCCCAGGUUUCCGCCUCCUCGGCCGGUAGGCGGUGCUCGGGGAAGCCCGCUGUCCGGUCUGCGGGUCUGCCUGGGACUCGCAGCGCCUACAUCUGCCCCGCCCUAGGUCCCGGUGGGAGGGAGAGGCUCUGCUGCCUGAAGCUGUGAAGUGCUGUGUGCUGGGACCUAAUUCAUGCUCCUACGGAAUAUAUUAUCUGCUUGCUGGGCCUGGUGGCACACACCUAUGAUCCCAGCACUUGGGAGGCUGAGGCAGGAGGAUCACUGAGAGUUGGAGGCCAGCUUGGGCUACAUGGUGAGUUGAGGGCCAGCCUGAACUACAAAGGGAGACCCUGCCGCAAAAAAAAAAAAAAAAAAAAAAGGAACAUAUUAUCUGCUUGGUGUGGCAAGGUUACAAGUCCCACCAGGGCUUUAAGAAUUCAAGUAAGAAUGCCUCUUAUUCUCCUAGUAUCAAUAUUCUGUGCCAUUGUUUUCUCCAGAGUUAAAUACCCUAGCAAGAUUAGCCUUUGGUAAUUCAAAGGAUUUUUUUCUCUUUUUUAAUUUUUUUUUUUUUUUUUUAAGGCAGUCUCACUUUGUAGUUCAGGCAGCCUCCCAAGUCUGCCUCAGCCUCCUGAGUGCUGGGAUUACAGGUGUGUGCCACCACACCCAGCUUAGAAGGUUUUAGUAGUUCACCUAAAGAGUAAGGGGGUUUUUUUGUACCAAGAAUCGAACUCAGGACCUUGCACUUUCAAGGCAGGCUUGGUGCCACUGAACUAAUCCCCAGACCAAGAGUAAGACUUUUUUGAUUGCCUUUUUUUUUUUGAUACUGGGGAUCGAACUCUGGACCUUGGGCUUUCGAGGCAGGUGACUUGGCACUGAGCUAAAUCCCCACGAGAGUAAGACUUUAACAGGAAAGAAUUAGGCAGUAAUUUGGUAAGAUUCCUGACAAUGCAUGGUCUUGUUUAUAUCUUCAGUGCAUUGAGACAGUAUGCUGGAGAGCUGUGGAGGGUGAGCAUUAGUACCUGGAAAUUUCAGUUAGAAUUAAAAGGUUAUGAUCAUAGCAUUUGAUAGUCAAAUGCAAAGCUUUUCAGUUUUUUUUCUGGGUUUUUUUUUUUUUUUGGUACUGGGAAUCGAACUUGGAACCUUGCACUUGCUGGGCAGGCCCUGGAACCACUGAGAUAAAUCCCCGGCCCAGCUUUUC